UGUGUGUGUGUGUGUGUGUGUGUGUGUGUGUGUGUAUUGCGCACGCGCGCGCGCGCACACACACACACACACU
rnacentral:miRNA from 1 species